AUGGAUAAAUACUUUGUAGUAGAAUCAGGCAAUAGAUCAGAAAUGAGUUUGGACAAUUUGGAAACUUCAUGCAACUCUAUGGAUGAAUUGCACAAGUUUAGCUUCUCUUGAAAAUAUCAAAAAUAAACUCUGCAUACUAUAUGGUUCCAUUUAUAUAAAUGUCUUUUUUUAAAUACAGGUAAGAACUUGAAAGGGACAAUUUGCAGUGCUGCUAAAAUUAAUUUACACAUUGCUGGUGAUGGUGACACUUGAAAAUGCAGCCAUCAGGUGGCAAGUGUCCCAUGGGCAUCCAUCUGGGUUCUUCCUGCCUGUCAGUCACAGCCUGAGAUCCAUCCCCACCUUGUUCAGCCUAUGGACUGUGGAGUUGCUAUAUACCAGGUCAAUGCAAUGAGCAUGUCUGCCAUGAAGCUGUGUGUGGCCGCAUUGUCUUCAAUGACAUCUAAAUCCCAUCUUCAGGAAGCAUAUGGGGCUUCCCAGUGAUCUCUCCCUUGGGUACUCUCCUUUAAUUCUAAGAAAUUCUUUAUGAUUUUCUUCAUUUUAGUAGCCUUUCCUUCUAGUAAGCUUUUCCUUACAAUUGGAUAAUAAAUUUUAUUUAUUGACAUCAAUCUUCCUCUGGUUUCUGUUCCUGAUUCAAUUCUCGUGUGUAAUCUUGCCACCCAGGGUUGUCAACCCGUAUUUGCAGCUCCUUAUUUGCAACCUUUAUUUGCAGGAUAAAUCAAUUCACUUGGUAAUAUGAGUGGAUUGAUGACCUUAUUGAAGACUUCACAGUAACAUUGCUCCAUAUUAUAAUUUGCACUUUUUUUAUUUAACAUAUAACAAAAGCUUAAGAAAUGUAUAAUAUGUACCUGAGGAUAUAUUUUUUUCAUUAAUAAAAUUAAGAUGGAAAAAGUUUUUUGACACCAAGGGGGAAACCUCAGGUGCACUUUCUUGAUUAUGAUGCAAACUGCAGGCUCCUCUUGGCUAAGAAAUGAACCAUUCUAGUGAAUCAUGCUGAUAACGGGCAAGGCCAUGCAUGUGUGCAUGCAGGGAUGGUGGAGGAUGGCUAUGUACCUUCUUCUCAAUUUUGUUGUGAACUAAAAUUGUUCUAAAAAUAGUAUCUGAAAAAUAUCUAGGAAAAUUGCAUGCCUUUUGAAGAAAUGAGAAAUAUCUUCUUUAUAGAUGGUGAAAUAUAGUUAUACCAAAAUUAGGUAACUAAAAUGCCUAAUGCUUACAAACAUAUAUUUUUAGAUCUAAACAGUUGUCAAAAGAUCUCAUGUUUGAGUCAAAGUUGAAAAAUGAACAAUUCUUGUCAGUUGCUGAAAAAACUGAUGACCUGAAAUACAGAGAAUUAUAUCUUAUUACUCUUAAAAAAUAUAAAUCACAA
rnacentral:lncRNA from 1 species